rnacentral:misc_RNA from 1 species
UCCGGUUUGUCACCGGCAGUCUCAUUAGAGUGCCCUUUCGUAGCAACUAAUGACAAGGGUUGCGCUCGUUGCGGGACUUAACCCAACAUCUCACGACACGAGCUGACGACAGCCAUGCAGCACCUGUGUGACGGCUCUCUUUCGAGCACCCCUAAAUCUCUUCAGGGUUCCGUCCAUGUCAAGGGUAGGUAAGGUUUUUCGCGUUGCAUCGAAUUAAUCCACAUCAUCCACCGCUUGUGCGGGUCCCCGUCAAUUCCUUUGAGUUUUAGCCUUGCGGCCGUACUCCCCAGGCGGGGUGCUUAAUGCGUUAGCUUCGGCACGGAAGGGGUCGAUAUCCCCCCACACCUAGCACCCAACGUUUACGGCGUGGACUAC